UUAAUGGCCGCGGUACCCUGACCGUGCUAAGGUAGCGUAAUAAGUUGGCUUUUAAAUGGAGUCAGGUAUGAAUGGAUAUACUGGGCUUAGCUGUCUCGAUUGUGGUCUAUCGAAUUUACUGUGCAAGUGAAAAAGCUUGCUUAAUACAAGGGGACGAGAAGACCCUUAAAAUUUUAUUUAAAGUAAUUUAAUUAAUUACUACGAUUUUGUUGGGGCGACAUAGAAAUAAUUAAAACUUUCUACAAAACAUUAGCCGGAAUUUUCAAGAAGGAAUAAAUUACUUAAGGGAUAACAGCAUAAUUCUAAAAUUGAGUUUGUGACCUCGAUGUUGGACUAGGAAGCUAGUAGGUUAGACGCUUACUGUGGAGAUUCUGUUCGAAUUUUAACUCCUACGUGAUCUGAGU
rnacentral:rRNA from 1 species